CGAGUGGCGGACGGGUGAGUAAUGUCUGGGAAACUGCCCGAUGGAGGGGGAUAACUACUGGAAACGGUAGCUAAUACCGCAUAACGUCGCAAGACCAAAGAGGGGGACCUUAGGGCCUCUUGCCAUCGGAUGUGCCCAGAUGGGAUUAGCUUGUAGGUGAGGUAACGGCUCACCUAGGCGACGAUCCCUAGCUGGUCUGAGAGGAUGACCAGCCACACUGGAA
rnacentral:rRNA from 1 species